UGUCGUGUGUCGCUUGGGGCAGUGGAGCGGUAGUGACAACUAGGAAAGCCAGAACGGAAUGCCAACACUUUGCCUGGGCGGAGGAUCCCAGCCAGAGAACCUAAGAUGGUAAAAGGAAACAUUUUUUCUUUUCCUUCAUUAGAAUCAGCAGUUCUUCAGUUCAGAGCUACAAGCCUCGAUCAGUUGGUGUACUGAAGACUCGGUGUGAUUUAUGUCAGCUGUGGUUAUGAGCACACUGUCGUUCUUACCAAGGAUGGGAAAGUAUUCACAUUUGGAGACAAUAGCUGUGGACAGCUGGGAAACAGCCCCACUGCUGAGAAGAGGGGUCCGCAACUCAGAAAGAAUUGAGGGCCUAGUUUCGCAGACUGUGGAAGUUCUCACACCCUUGUGUAUGUCUCUACCACUAGUCAGGUGGUGUCUUUUGGUUGUGGACCAAGUUGCACAAGCAGCUCACCUCAUCCGGGGGCUCUGGCAGAGAACUUUGACAUUAGC